UUUGAUGUUAUUUAUAUUUUUCAGAGAUAAAAAAAUAAAAUUGGGUUUUUUUACCAAAUUUUAUACAUUAUUUAAAUAAUAAGAUUAUUUGUGCAAAUUUUACAACAAAUCUCUCGCCCGAACCAGACAGCCAAAUCGGGUUCGAUAUUCUUUUAUGUUUCCGGAUUUUAUGGACAGACUGACUCGACUCGAAUCCGACCCAUGUCUAUUCCAAAUCCAAUGUGCUGUGAUUAGAAAAAUAAAAAUUAAUUUAGAUAAUAUGAAAGUUUUAGGUUCAUAUAAUGAUUAGAAAGAAUUUAAUAAAUUUGAAGCUCACAAUUUCUAGCUCCAAAGACAUGAUUUAGGAAUGGUUUUCACAUGUAAGGAUUGUUUUGAUGAUUUUUUGUAGAUUUAUUUAUCGAACGAAUUUAGAUCAAGGUAUGUAAAUUCGUCUAAAUAAUAUCCGAUUAGAAAAUUUUGAAUUCGAAUAACUUUUUUAAUAGAAAAUCCUAAAAACCUUAAAAUAAAUAUAUAAAAUCACUUUUAAUAAAAUUAAUUAAUAAUCAAUUAACGACGGAUUUUGCAGAUAUUCAAAUCCGUUCGAAUAAUUUUCAUAUAUCAUUUUUGAUAUACGAAUGACGAAUCUAUAUCUGGAAUACGUAUUAUUAGACUUCUAAAAAACGAAAAUAACUAUAAAUCUAUAAUAUAGUAAAAUUUAAGAAAAUUGUAUAAAAAUAACAGAAUCAGUGAUAGAUUUUUUUUUUGGAAUUAUCAAACGGAAAAAAAUUCAACUUUUUCUCACCACGAGAAGAGUCCCAAAAAAAGACCAGACACUCCGACAGGCGACAACAUUGCGAAAAUAUAUUUUUGUGUAAAAUAAAGGUUUAAAUUUUUUUAUCUCUGUUUAAAA
rnacentral:lncRNA from 1 species